CAUCAUGUCAACAUCCGUGAUUGUUGGAUAAUUUUGAAUUUUAAAUUUUAAAAUCUAUGUCCUUACAACAAUAUUUUGGGACCCUAAACAGUUUCAAUUCAAAAACACUGCAUCUAUAGAGUUAUAGAUUAUGCAGAGGGCUACAAUUUUGAUAUAAAGCUUGUCUUAAUCCAAGUUCAUAUAAAAAAGUUAUGAAUUAUUUUAUGAAAAAGUCAGCAUACCACAUAAGAAAAAAAUAAAAAUUAAUAGAAAUAUAACCAGCUGAUAUAUACUCCCCACA
rnacentral:lncRNA from 1 species